GGGGCUGUGUUGACUGAGGUUUUUUUGUUUCUGGAAUUCCUCUGAAAUCUGCGGAAACCAAAAAAGAAAUGAGACAACUGAGAGACUGCGUUAGCAUUUAGUUUCUCUGUGAUCUCCUGCUGUUUCUCUUUAUGUCCACCACGCUGGAAAAUACAAAGCGGUUUUCCCCUGACUUUAGAGCAUGUGUUCAAUAGCAAGCAAAAUUUCUGUAGGAACUAGACCAGAAGGAGCCUCGGCCUGACCCUUGGCGUUUCUGCAGCAGACAGCAGUGCUUCCGGGGCAUCUGCACAAAUGCUGUAAGAUGCACUCCUCCCGUUCCCAGAGAGGUGCCGUGCCGGCGCGGUCACCCACGGGUGCACAGCUGCUCUUUUCUCAAAGGCCCCGGCAGUAAGUCAGGGUUCAGCAGAUUCAUUUCAUGUUCGUGGAGGUUAUGCACUCCCAGGCAAGAAGACAGAGCUGUUGGCCGGCCUUAGCUGCUAACAACACUUUAAGGAGAGUUGCCUGGGACGCCACGCCCACGUGAAGCAGCUGACUGUGGGCGUGCAUGGAUCCGGUGAGGAUCGCUGCCCCGUGUCACUCGCCGGCCUCACCGCACUACACACGGCUUCCUUUUGUAGGUAUAAAUGCAUUUUGUUUUGACUGAGACAAUAAAGACUGAGGAUUUUAUAGUCUUUCUAUACACACAUAAUCACAGAAUCUACUUUUAUUCUUUUCCCUAGACUCAUUCUUCCGCUAAAGGUCUUACCCAUUUUCUUUACCCUGGGAAGAAUUAGCUUUUUAUCUUAUCUGAUAAGCUAGGGAAAGUCUUGAGUUUUCAUCUAAAAUGAGGACAGAAUCUUGCUGUAGGCAGACAGCAGGCCUUUGUUUCAUAUUGGAACCAGAAUAUUAAAACUUAUAGCAACAGCUCAGUGAUAGACCAUUUGCCUACCAUGAAUGAGACCAUAGGUUUAAUCCCACUGCAAAAUAAAUAAUAAGUUAGCAUACUUAGAAUCACAGCACUGCUGGCAACUUUGGGUUUAACACAUGACCUCAAAUCCGCGACCUUCACCCUUCAUUCUGCGCUCUUAGAAAUGUGAGACUCUUGCUCCAUUUCACAGAGGCUAUUUUCCAUGCAUUUAUCAGAUGGAGACAACUAUAGCCAGUGGUAGUCUGAGCAAGGUUCACCCGGUUCCCACACGGUCUCUACAUAGGACUCAAGAUGGGCCUAGUUCUGCAUUGCCCCCAAGACAAGAAUCUCACUGUAGCAGUUACACUUUGCUAUCGUCUCAUAAAGGAAAGUUGGUGAGGCAGACAUACAACACCCUGACAUAGAGGCUCCUUCCUGUGCUGGAGAUUCCUGACUUGACAUGCCUAAAAUUCAAGACUUGAAAGAUUUGAUGGGAACUUUAAGAAUUAAACUCUGGAUGGGGUCAAGCAAACCAUCUAACCAGUAUACUAGCCAAGAGCAGAUUUUGAUAGUGAGUAUUGCUACUAAAUUGCUAUUAUUUCUCUCCCCUCCCCUCGUUUAUUUGUAUAUUUGUUUAUUUAUUUUUAGAGACAGGGUUUCUUUGUGUAGCCUUGAUUGUCCUAGAACUCACUCUGCCCUGCCUCUGCCUCUGGAGUGCUGGAAUUUAAUUCACCACACCAGUAUGCCCAGCUAAAUUACUAUUUAGCAUCUUCAUUCAGUGACCAAAUUUAUUUACCAUAAAUUUGUUUAUAAAAUGUAUCUUACAUACAACCAACACAUCUCAAACUCAUGCUCUUGAAAUAUCAUUUUAAACUUUUAAAUCUAUAGCUUUCUUGUUACACCUCAUUUUACAGAAAAUCAGGUUUCAGCUUUUUUCAACAAGCUGAGUUGUCUAAAGGGCACAUGGGGCAGGCUGUAGUCCCUGGGGCUCUGUAGUUUACAGGGCUGAGAGAUGUCAACGUUGUGCAGAGUGUCAGAGGACACCGUGAAGAAGCCUUCCUGGGACCUCUCUUGUCCUUGGCAGUGGUGGCCCCAUAAGGGACAAAUAUCUGUCUGCUUCAAGUUUGCCACCUCACUUUGCUCAACAUGAAAUUUUAUUCUUAUUUCCACCUAGAAUAAUAAAAAUCCUUUAAC
rnacentral:lncRNA from 1 species